rnacentral:rRNA from 1 species
AUUGAACGCUGGCGGCAGGCCUAACACAUGCAAGUCGAACGGUAGCACAGAGAGCUUGCUCUCGGGUGACGAGUGGCGGACGGGUGAGUAAUGUCUGGGAAACUGCCCGAUGGAGGGGGAUAACUACUGGAAACGGUAGCUAAUACCGCAUAACGUCGCAAGACCAAAGUGGGGGACCUUCGGGCCUCACACCAUCGGAUGUGCCCAGAUGGGAUUAGCUAGUAGGUGGGGUAAUGGCUCACCUAGGCGACGAUCCCUAGCUGGUCUGAGAGGAUGACCAGCCACACUGGAACUGAGACACGGUCCAGACUCCUACGGGAGGCAGCAGUGGGGAAUAUUGCACAAUGGGCGCAAGCCUGAUGCAGCCAUGCCGCGUGUAUGAAGAAGGUCUUCGGGUUGUAAAGUACUUUCAGCGGGGAGGAAGGCGGUGAAGUUAAUAGCUUCACCGAUUGACGUUACCCGCGGAAGAAGCACCGGCUAACUCCGUGCCAGCCGCCGCAGUAA